rnacentral:ncRNA from 2 species
GAAACAGCAACAGAUUCCGGUGUCUGGCACUGCCCGUGUCAGAUGAAAAGGGAAGCGGGGUGCAACUCCCCCACGGACCCGCCACUGUGAGCGACGACGACGGAUCACUUUGCCACUGGCCUCUCAGGUUGGGAAGGCGAUCGGGAGGAUGAAUCGCAAGUCAGGAGACCUGCCGGAAUCACACAGGCCUG